CGUAAUGGGAGGACCCAUUAGACAACCACUUACCUUUGUGACAUAUCCCAUUAGUGUUACUGUUUUUGGAGAACAAGGAGAGGAAGAUCUGAAAGCCAAAUAGAUAAUUGAUCAGUGCCUCGUUCAGAGGCAUGGCAUAUGGGAUGUCUAAUCAAUGAUAUCACGAAUUAACAUAAUCAACACAGAAUUGAUGCAAUUCUCAGUCUGUUUUCUGCUACUGCUGAGGAGCUGCGAGAAGCUUGCGCGGAGGAGGAACCGCCGCCUUGGGAAGCGGUCUUCCAGUGGAAGUAGUUCUGGCGCCAUGGUUGGCCAGAAGCAAAUGCUCGAUAAAGCAUGAAGACAUCGUGCCAACUCGGGCACUUGACAUAGGCAUCGCCUCUGCAGGCGCCUGCUACGAUCAACCUGGCGUACUCCUCCACAGCCCCACCGGCUGCAUUUGCCUAAUAAAAUCCCCCCACAAGCUACAAGUCAACCUAUAGAUGAAUAUGUUUGUCUAAGUAAUAGGAUUUAUUGCAUCUAUUUAGAGCAGAAACUUACUUCUCUU